rnacentral:rRNA from 1 species
CCUACGGGUGGCAGCAGUGAGGAAUAUUGGUCAAUGGCCGGAAGGCUGAACCAGCCAUGCCGCGUGAAGGUCAGUGCCCUAUGGGCGUUAAACUUCUUUUGUGCGGGAGCAAUAAUGGUCACGUGUGGCCAGACGAGAGUACCGUACGAAUAAGCAUCGGCUAACUCCGUGCCAGCAGCCGCGGUUAUACGGGGGAUGCAAGCGUUAUCCGGAUUUAUUGGGUUUAAAGGGUGCGUAGGCUGGGAUGUAAGUCAGCGGUGAAAUGCCCCCGCUCAACGGGGUGAAGUGCCAUUGAUACUGCCUGGCUGGAAUGCGGAUGCCGUGUGAGGAAUGUGUGGUGUAGCGGUGAAAUGCAUAGAUAUCACACAGAACACCGAUUGCGAAGGCAUCUCACGAAUCCGCGAUUGACGCUGAUGCACGAAAGCGUGGGUAUCAAACAGGAUUAGAUACCCUAGUAGUC